rnacentral:lncRNA from 1 species
GUCUAAUACGUUCUCCUAUUUAUUUGUAUUGUAGUCCUGUAAUAUUAUGUUGUCAUUUCAAUGUUAUAUUUAACAUUGCCAUUAAAGUGCGAGGUUUGGCAUGCCACAAAACCAGGUUCAACCCACCAUUUUUAUCUUUAAAAAUGUCCUGUACCAAGUCAGGAAAAUGGCCAUUGUUAUAUUAUAAUCGUUUCUGUGUGUGUAACAUUUUAAUGUUGUGUUUCCGUUGUGUCGUUUGUUUUCUCUUAUAUUUGAGUGUGAAUUCACAUUACUAUAAGACGUGUCACGGUACUUUUCUAUCCCAAAUUCAUGUAUUUGGUUUUGAUGUU